rnacentral:rRNA from 1 species
UGGGGAAUAUUGGACAAUGGGCGCAAGCCUGAUCCAGCAAUGCCGCGUGAGUGAUGAAGGCCUUAGGGUUGUAAAGCUCUUUCGCACGCGACGAUGAUGACGGUAGCGUGAGAAGAAGCCCCGGCUAACUUCGUGCCAGCAGCCGCGGUAAUACGAAGGGGGCUAGCGUUGUUCGGAAUUACUGGGCGUAAAGGGCGCGUAGGCGGCCUGUUUAGUCAGAAGUGAAAGCCCCGGGCUCAACCUGGGAAUAGCUUUUGAUACUGGCAGGCUUGAGUUCCGGAGAGGAUGGUGGAAUUCCCAGUGUAGAGGUGAAAUUCGUAGAUAUUGGGAAGAACACCGGUGGCGAAGGCGGCCAUCUGGGCGGACACUGACGCUGAGGCGCGAAAGCGUGGGGAGCAAAACAGGAUUAGAUACCCUGGUAGUCCACGCCGUAAACGAUGAAUGCUAGACGUCGGGGUGCAUGCACUUC